rnacentral:lncRNA from 1 species
AUUGAUAGAAUUUAAUACUAUUCAAAAAUUGAAUAUAAAUUUUUGUUUGAUUGUGAUUCAGGGACUGAAAGACAAUGGAAUCGGUUCACAGAGCAUCACCAACAUCAUUAACAUAAUGACCAAGAUCAAGACCACUGUUAUAAACUUGCCAAUCCUAACUAACCCAAUUAAAUUUAUUUUGGCGACAUUAGCAAUUCAUGUACACAAAUAAUAAUAUUGUUAUUGACAGUCUAAAAAACCAAAUGGAAUUAUCAUAUGAUAUCUUUGUUCAAAAAGAAAUUAAUGAAAACACAAACAUAGCAAUACAUCAAGAUUCUCUCAAGUACAGAACAAAAAUUGUUUUGUAAAAUCAAUAUAAGCAGUCAAGCACCUGCAGCAACGGAAAAAAACAACAACUUAACCAGCUGAAUGGAAGGGAAAACAGAGGACUACAUUGUUUGAAAAAGAAAAAAAAACAGAGGACUACACUGUAACAGAAGAAGACUACACUGUAACAGAGGACUACACUGUCACUUAGCAUUCAGAACUAAAAAGAAGAAAACAGAAGAAAACAAAACUUAAAACAUAAAAGAAAAAGAAAAAGAAAACAGAGAGGAAGAAAACAGAAAACAAAGAUUAGAGAGGACGACAGAAGAAGAAAACAGAGAGGACGAUAGAGGAAGAAAAGAAAAAGAAGAAGAAGGAGGAAAAAAAAAGAAGACAGUCGAAGAAGAAGUAAAGAAGAAGAAGAAGAAGACGGUCGACAGA